UCCCGUCGUUCACUUUAAAGAGCCGGCUCUUAGAGCCGGAUCGUUCGCGACCGACCCAUCACUAAGGUGCAGUACAAGUCAGAAUUUAAAAGAUAGACUCCUCAGUUUGUUUAGCUACAAAGCAGGAAAUGCUGCAUGCAAAAUGCACAACAUAUUGAUGUUACUGGAUCAGAAUGCUGAUAUAGGCAAUCAUUGAGAGAUAGUGAUUCCUGACAUGAUGCUAUACCUCUCUGAGGAUGCUGAGCACUUUAUUACAAAUUACCAGGACAUUAAAUUCAAUCCUGAUGACCUGAAACACCACCCAGUGCAGAUGGCAGUCCUUUAGAAGUAGGGAUAUUUUUGGAGGGCAUGCAAUUGAUUGCACGUUUACAAGUGUCCUGAAUGCAUGUGUCAUCUUGCUUGACAUGAUGUAUGUGGUCAGUCAGAACUAUCCAAAUCCAUUAAGUACAAAUGUAUUUUGAUGUUUUUUAAAUGCUAUUUCUUAAAAUAAAAUGUUGUUUAAAGUUUACUAAA